AACGAACGCUGGCGGCGCGCUUAACACAUGCAAGUCGAACGAGAAACCCUCCUUCGGGGGGGCGGUAAAGUGGCGAACGGGUGAGUAAUGCAUGGGUAAUUUACCCUGUAGUGGGGGAUAACCUUCCGAAAGGAGGGCUAAUACCGCAUACGAUCCUGGGGCAUCAGUCUCAGGAUGAAAGACAGCUCGCAAGGGCUGGCGCUAUUGGAUGAGCCCAUGUCCCAUCAGCUUGUUGGUAGGGUAACGGCCUACCAAGGCGAUGACGGGUAGCUGGUCUGAGAGGACGACCAGCCACACUGGCACUGCGACACGGGCCAGACUCCUACGGGAGGCAGCAGUGAGGAAUCUUGCGCAAUGGGCGAAAGCCUGACGCAGCGACGCCGCGUGGGGGAUGAAGGCCUUCGGGUUGUAAACCCCUUUUAGGAGGAAAGAAUUCCGGUAGGUGAAUAUCCUGCCUGGUUGACGGUACCUCCAGAAAAAGCCACGGCUAACUCUGUG
rnacentral:rRNA from 1 species